rnacentral:rRNA from 1 species
AACGAACGCUGGCGGCAUGCCUAACACAUGCAAGUCGAACGAGACCUUCGGGACUAGUGGCGCAGGGGUGCGUAACGCGAUGGAACCUGGCCGUAGGGUCGGAAUAACCGCCCGAAAGGGGUGCUAAAACGGGAGAAUGUCGCCGGACCAAAGAUGUAACGCCUUUGGAUGGGCCCGCGUUGGAUUAGCUAGUUGGUAGGGUAAAAGCCUACCAAGGCGACGAUCCAUAGCUGGUCUGAGAGGAUGAGCAGCCACACUGGGACUGAGACACGGCCCAGACUCCUACGGGGGGCAGCAGUGGGGAAUAUUGGACAAUGGACGAAAGCCUGAUCCAGCGAUGCCGCGUGAGUGAUGAAGGCCUUAGUGUUGUAAAGCUCUUUUACCCGGGAUGAUAAUGACAGUACCGGGAGAAUAAGCUCCGGCUAACUCCGUG